rnacentral:rRNA from 1 species
GACGAACGCUGGCGGCGUGCUUAACACAUGCAAGUCGAACGGAAAGGCCCUGCUUUUGUGGGGUGCUCGAGUGGCGAACGGGUGAGUAACACGUGAGUAACCUGCCCUUGACUUUGGGAUAACUUCAGGAAACUGGGGCUAAUACCGGAUAGGAGCUCCUGCUGCAUGGUGGGGGUUGGAAAGUUUCGGCGGUUGGGGAUGGACUCGCGGCUUAUCAGCUUGUUGGUGGGGUAGUGGCUUACCAAGGCAUUGACGGGUAGCCGGCCUGAGAGGGUGACCGGCCACAUUGGGACUGAGAUACGGCACAGACUCCUACGGGAGGCAGCAGUGGGGAAUAUUGCACAAUGGGCGGAAGCCUGAUGCAGCAACGCCGCGUGCGGGAUGACGGCCUUCGGGUUGUAAACCGCUUUCGCCUGUGACGAAGCGUGAGUGACGGUAAUGGGUAAAGAAGCACCGGCUAACUACGUG